rnacentral:rRNA from 1 species
UACGUAGGUGACAAGCGUUGUCCGGAUUUAUUGGGCGUAAAGCGAGCGCAGGCGGUCUUUUAAGUCUGAUGUGAAAGCCCACGGCUCAACCGUGGAGGGUCAUUGGAAACUGGAAGGCUUGAAUGCAGAAGAGGAAAGUGGAAUUCCAUGUGUAGCGGUGAAAUGCGUAGAUAUAUGGAGGAACACCAGUGGCGAAGGCGACUUUCUGGUCUGUAAUUGACGCUGAGGCUCGAAAGCGUGGGGAGCAAACAGG